rnacentral:rRNA from 1 species
GACGAACGCUGGCGGCGUGCUUAAUACAUGCAAGUGGAGCGACGAACCAGGCUUCGGCCUGGGGCAGAGCCGCGAACGGGUGAGUAACACGUGGGUAACCUGCCUCGAUGACCGGGACAACCCGGGGAACCCGGGCUAAUACCGGAUGUGCUGUCCCCACAUCAGUGGAGACAGGAAAGGAAGCUUCGGCCUCCGCAUCGAGAUGGGCCCGCGGCCCAUUAGCUUGUUGGUGUGGUAACGGCUCACCAAGGCUGCGAUGGGUAGCUGGUCUGAGAGGACGAUCAGCCACACUGGGACUGAGACACGGCCCAGACUCCUACGGGAGGCAGCAGUAGGGAAUCUUGCGCAAUGCGCGAAAGCGUGACGCAGCAACGCCGCGUGGGGGAA